UCAUACACUUUUGGACCAAUGGAUUUCCAUGACUUUUCCAUGACUUUAAACCAAAUUUCCAUGACCAAACAUUUUGUGAAAUCUCGGUAUUAACGUGCAAAAGUGAUAAAAUGUAGUAUUAAAACUAACAAUGGGAAUUCGGAGGCAUACUGUAUACAUUAAAUGACACAAAUGAUUGAUUCGCAACGACAUCGAGGGCAGAUGAAUGUCCCAUGAACUGAGAGCCGAUGUAUUUUGUCUUAACAUCGGCGCCAUCCCAUAGCCUCACAUGUAAAUCCAUCUGUUUGGACUGUAAAUAACUAUUCAGGCUUUUGUCGAAGAGAAUGACGUAUGCCCUUUGCUUCAUUACGUUGGACAACGUCAGACUCCUGAAGUGGGGCGCGAGACCGAAAGAGCAGAGGUACGAGCAUUUGCUUUCGCCACAAGCAAACUGUGUUGCUAUCUGGCUAUCGGGGAACAUUCUUUGAAAGAGCAGGCUAGCAUCUUCAGAUGACUUAAACGAAUAAUGCGAAUUAGCCACCUUCAGUGCCCACAUUACCUCCGCAGUUAAGACUUCCUUUUUUGUGACAGCAUCGGUUAUUGACGACUGCUUGGCCAAAGAGAGAGACGUGCUGUUUGCCGUAGCAGUUGCCCUGGCUGUGGUGCAGCAGCGCUCUGGUGUUUAGUGCCUUUCGCAUGGCUCGUUAAUGCCGCCUCUCCCAUGUUAGAUAUGUCAAACGUUUUGUCACCACAUAACCUACAUUUAGCUCGGCCCGGGUCUUUGUCGGAUGAAACCCAUGACAUAUAUUUCUCAUUUCGCAACCAAGCAUUGCUGAACCUACACUUCCCUGGCAUUUUGAAAAAUUUUGGCUUCCCUCAGAUACUGUUGCUAUGGCCAACAAACGUUUCAGUUGCGUAUGUUUUAGUUUCAGCGCGUGCCUGUUUAUACUUUGAGCGUAUUUCAUUUAAAGGCAUAUUCAUGAUUUAAAACUCAGCGUAAAUGAACGACAAGAAAA